UGUAGUAAUACAAGGCAUACGGCUCAGUAACACGUAGUCAACCUACCCUAUGGACGAGAAUAAUCUCGGGAAACUGAGCAUAAUUCUUGAUAGAUCAUAAUGCCUGGAAUGGUUUAUGAUUAAAAUGAUUCGUCGCCAUAGGAUGGGACUGCGGCCUAUCAGCUUGUUGGUGAGGUAAUGGCCCACCAAGGCGAUUACAGGUACGGGCUCUGAGAGGAGAAGCCCGGAGAUGGGUACUGAGACACGGACCCAGGCCCUAUGGGGCGCAGCAGGCGAGAAAACUUUGCAAUGUGCGAAAGCACGACAAGGUUAAUCCGAGUGAUUUCUGCUAAAGAAAUCUUUUGCCAGUCGUAAAACCACUGGUGAAUAAGGGGUGGGCAAGUUCUGGUGUCAGCCGCCGCGGUAAAACCAGCACCUCAAGUGGUCAGGAUGAUUAUUGGGCCUAAAGCAUCCGUAGCCUGCUUUGUAAGUUUUCGGUUAAAUCCAUGUGCUCAACGCAUGGGCUGCCGAAAAUACUGCAUAGCUAGGGAGUGGGAGAGGUAGACGGUACUCAGUAGGUAGGGGUAAAAUCCUUUGAUCUAUUGAUGACCACCUGUGGCGAAGGCGGUCUACCAGAACACGUUCGACGGUGAGGGAUGAAAGCUGGGGGAGCAAACCGGAUUAGAUACCUGGGUAGUCCCAGCUGUAAACGAUGCAGACUCGAUGAUGCAUUGGCAUAAUAGCCAUUGCAGUGUCGCAGGGAAGCCGUUAAGUCUGCCGCCUGGGAAGUACGUACGCAAGUAUGAAACUUAAAGAAUUGGCGGGG
rnacentral:rRNA from 1 species